AGAAGUUACACGGUUUCAGGAAUUUCCCCACCCGUUUCCUAUAGAAUUCUGAAAACCAGUCCCUUAAUUAGCAUACAAUUAAGAAUAAGGAUAAAUAUAGCUGGCCAGCAAUCUACCCGGACUGCCCCUCUGGACUGCUCUGUUUGGAUACACUGCCGCUGCAGCCGCUGCUGCUGCUGCAGCUGCUGCUGCUCUGGUCUGUUCUGACUAUGGAGCAGCCACUUUGCUGUACACCGCUACACCGGGCAACUCUGCCUAUGAGGAAGCACUGCUCUGUGGGACAGUGAUACGGCUGCACACCGCUACUCCUGGGAACUCUGCCUUUGGGCCAGCCCUACUCUGUCUACGGAGCAGCUAUUUUGCUAGUGAAUUGGAAAAUCAACAAGCAACAAGAAUGAAGAUAUGAAAUUUAGGAACAAAGCAUUAAGACCUGUGCCAGAAUUGUAGUUUUUUUUUUAAAAAAAAAAAAUUAAUUAGCUGUCACAUACCAGAAAAAUGUUCAUAAAGUAAACUAAUCUCCAGGCAGGGAGCAAGUCUUGAGGGAAGUCCCUCUCCCACUCUGCUCCAUGCAUCAAGAGAACCAUUGGACCAGAUCCUCAUUCAACAGGGACCUCAUCUGCCCUCCUUUCACUCCACUAGGUUCCAUCAUUGCUAUGGGGACUACAAAAAGGCAUUAUAAGGUUUGGGACACGGACGGGUUUCCCUGCUCCUCGUCUUGCCGAUGACCUAUUGUGGGACUUCACCUUGUG